rnacentral:rRNA from 1 species
UACGAAGGGGGCUAGCGUUGUUCGGAGUUACUGGGCGUAAAGGGCGCGUAGGCGGCGCACCAAGUCAGGCGUGAAAGCCCUGGGCUCAACCCGGGAAUUGCGCUUGAGACUGGUGUGCUUGAGUACGGGAGAGGAUAGUGGAAUUCCCAGUGUAGAGGUGAAAUUCGUAGAUAUCUGGAGGAACACCGGUGGCGAAGGCGGCAUCCUGGACCGGCAUUGACGCUGAUGAGCGAAAGCCAGGGGAGCAAACGGG